rnacentral:rRNA from 1 species
UACAGAGGUGGCAAGCGUUGUUCGGAAUUACUGGGCGUAAAGGGCGCGUAGGCGGCCUUCUAAGUCAGACGUGAAAUCCCCCGGCUUAACCUGGGAACUGCGUCUGAUACUGGGAGGCUUGAGUAUGGGAGAGGGAUGUGGAAUUCCAGGUGUAGCGGUGAAAUGCGUAGAUAUCUGGAGGAACACCGGUGGCGAAGGCGGCAUCCUGGACCAUUACUGACGCUGAGGAGCGAAAGCCAGGGAGCAAACGGG